rnacentral:lncRNA from 1 species
CACAACGACUUCCUCUACUUCCAACACCUAAAGAUAAUGGCACUGGUUCCACAGCAAGUGUGGGAAUGAUUUUACACAAUAGUAUCUGGGAAAAUAUUUACUUCUGGCCCACUGGCAAAGGAUUGGCCUUUUUAUAUUGUUCUGAAGUUAACUUCAGAGGAGGUCCUUCCCUGAAAAGUCACAGCUGAAGGAACUCACUGCAGACGGUGACUGUUCCUAUGAAGGAUCCUUCUGCCUUUUCAUAACCUGUGUGCUGUUGUUUAAUUCUCAUGGAGAAUGACAAGUUCCACUAAAAUAUGCACAUGGCAUCUCCAAGAAACAGAAGCAAGAAUUAAAGUGAAGGGGUGGUAGGCAAAAAAGGCCAAGAAUGACCAUGAUUAGACCAAGGAACUUCCACUUCCAAGCCGUAGCUGGCUGCAUCCUCUUCAUGACUCUUGGGAAAAUAUUUUCUGUGGAGUCUAAAAGAAACAAAAAUACACCUGAAAAGAAAAAAAGAACAGGAUAAAGGAUUGUCUCCUAAUAACUUUCCACGCCAAGCAAAACUACAUGCAAGGAUUUUUAAGCCAAACUACAGAUCUUC